rnacentral:rRNA from 1 species
UACGAAGGGGGCUAGCGUUGUUCGGAAUUACUGGGCGUAAAGCGCACGUAGGCGGAUAUUUAAGUCAGGGGUGAAAUCCCAGAGCUCAACUCUGGAACUGCCUUUGAUACUGGGUAUCUCGAGUAUGGAAGAGGUGAGUGGAAUUCCGAGUGUAGAGGUGAAAUUCGUAGAUAUUCGGAAGAACACCAGUGGCGAAGGCGACUUACUGGACGAUUGUUGACGCUGAGGUGCGAAAGCGUGGGGAGCAAACAGG